GACAGCCCCUUAAGCUUGGUAAACUUUAUCAAAAACAACACCUUAUAAGGGUCGGUUACGUCAACUUCAGCCACUGAAAAAUACAAGGUUAAUCCCCAGAGUUCCACACCUAUCCAUAUGAAUUAGCUAGCUAAACACUUCUCAUUGCGCCAUUGUACUCUAGUAAAAAGGCAUAGGUUGCCACACUAUCUUUUUUUUUAUGAAGUAGUGUAUUAUUGACAAAAGCAUCCAGUGGAUGCACGUAUUACAAAAUAAAACAAGAUAUCAACGCCUAAGAAGAGAGCAACAAAAAAUCUAUCAUAAGACUAGAGAGCUGAUAAAUUCUAUAAAUUGGUCAGAGUUGUACUUAGGGGAGAGUUUAACCUAACUAAAAAGAGUGACCAAACAUCUAGCCUUGAGUAGGUAUCUAGCAGUUGAGAUGCCAUCAAAGCAUCUUUGAUUCCUUUCUGUCCAUAAGCACCAAAAUAUAGCAGCAGGAACCAUAGACCAGAUUUUCUUGAUGGACUUCUCAAAUUUCUAUGAACUUCAACUCACAAAAACUUCCUUAACACUGCUUGGCAUUGUCCAAUGCAAACCAAAAAGUGAAAAAAACAUGGACCAUAUGUCUGUUGCAACUGGACACUGAAGAAAUAAAUGGUUGAUUGUUUCAGAGUUGCUUUGGCACAUGUAGCAUCUGCUAGCAAGCUGAAAACCCCUUUGCAUGAGAUUGUCAUGGGUUAGGCAUACUCCAUUUAGAGUUAUCCAGCAAAAAGCACUGACCUUUGGAGGCAUUUUUGUCCUCCAAAUUAGUUUCCAGGGCCACUGAUCAAUCAUUUCCUUCCUGGAGCUUAAGGUUUGAUAACUAGCUCUGACUGAGUAUGCACCACUCCUUUUACUGCCCCAUCUGAAUUUGUCCCUGCCUGGAGUAGUGGUUGAACUAUUGUGAAGGCCGCCAAGAAGUGCUACCAAGUCAUCAAACUCCCAGUCAUUCAAAUUUCUUUUUAAGCUUGGGUUCCAUGAGUUAACCUCCCAAUUCUGCGCAACUGUGGUGUCUGGGUUAGUAGCAACAGAAAAUAGACCUGGAUAAGCAUCCAUCAGUGUAGUAUGGCCUAACCACUUAUCUUUCAGAAUAAGAUAUGUUCCCCAUUUUCCACUUGAAGGGUUGAAUCAACAGUGAAGACAUCCCACAGCUUCCUGAUACCCUUCCACAGCCCACAUCCAUAGUUAGAUCGAACGGUAUUGGUACACCAGUGAAUUUGACAGCCAUAAUUAGCUUGAACAGCCUCCCCUUCCAGAGACCAACUCCUUCCUGAUUAUACCUCCAAUGCCAUUUAAUUAGCAUGCUCUUGCUAUGUAAAGCCAAGUCCUUUACCCCUAGACCUCCAAGUGAUUUAGGAAGUGUUACCUUGGCCCAUUUGACAAGGUGAAAUUUAUGGUUCUUGUUGUUGCCUUCCCACAAGAAUGAACAUCUGAGUUUAUCUUGCUGCUUUUGGACUUUGACAGGAACUGGAAAGAGAGACAUAAAAUAGGUUGGUAUGCUGUCCAACACACUAUUUAUGAGAGUUAGUCUGUCACCAAGAGAAAGAUAUUGUUGCUGCCAGGACGCUAGUCUUUUCUCAAAUUUUUUCAAUGACCACGCUGAUCUGUGUCUAGCACCCAAUGGGAGGCCUAAGUAGGUGGUAGGGAAUGAACCUGUAGUGCAACACAUUAAAUCAGCCAACAUCUCUAGUUCUAGGACCACAUUAACAGGGUAAAUGACACUUUUUGACAUGUUAAUGUGCAGCCCCAACAAAGCUUCAAAAAUCAACAGAGUGAGAUUGAGAUAUUCAACUUGAGACUUCUCAGGACCACAGAAAAUGAGGGUAUCAUUAGCAAACAGUAAGUGAGACACUAAAACUGUUAAGCCAGAGUUGUUUCCAACAUCAAAACCCUGCAUCCAAUGCAUUUGCUUCGCUUUCUCCAGCAUUCUGCUAAGUCCCUCCAUCGCUAGAAUAAAUAAGAAACGGGAGAGGGGGGGGGGGGUCUCUCAGGGGAGAAAAAGCCAACAGAGCUUCUGUUAACAAGAACAAAAUAUUUGACUGUAGAGAAGGUAUAUCUAAUCCAUCUGAUCCAUUUUUCACCAAAUCCCAUCUGCCUUAAAAUUGAAAUGAGAUACUACCAAUUGAUUUGGUUCACCAUUUUUUUGCCUCCAAUCCAAGACUUCAUUAGCAAUUAGUGCAGCAUCUGUAAUCUGCCUAGCUUUAAUAAAAGCAUUCUGGUAGCCACGGACCAACUUCUUGAUCACCUUUUUAAGUCUCUCGGUCAGGACUUCUGCCACUAUACACUACGAGUAAGACUAAUAGGUCUGAAAUAUUUGAGUUCAAUUGCUCCUUUCUUUUUAGGGAUGAGAGCAAUAAAAGAGGCAUUAAAUGACUUAACCAUGUGACAGUUUCUAUGGAAGUGGUUGAAAGUCCCCAUUACAUCCAGUUUUACCGUAUCCCAAUAUCUUUGAUAAAUUAGUCUUACUUGUAGUGUCUACAAGAUAGUGGCAAAAGUGCUGACUGAGACUUAAAAAGGUGAUCGGGAAGUUGGUCUCUGACUACCAGAAUGCUUUUAUUAAAGGCAGGCAGAUUACAGAUGGACAUCCAACUUUCCGGUGUAUCCCAGCUCCUUUGAUAAAAAGCCAAUGUAAAACCAUCAGGGCUAGGGCUUUUUUCAGGUGCACAAGAGUUGAUAGCAUCUAAAACUUCCUCUUCCUCUUCAAAAGCAACUUCCAAGGCAUCCUUCUCCUCAUUGUUCAAACAACCCAAGCCUUCAAAAGUACAACUAGGUCUCCAAGUUUCAUUCUCAGAGUAUAAAGCUUGAUAAAAAUCUAAUAUCACCCUUUUAAUUUGUUCCUUUUCUUCAAUAAUAUCCUCUCCCACUUGUAGUCUGUCAAUGUAGUUAUACCUCCUGUGAGAAUUGGCUACCUUUUGAAAGUAUUUUGUAUUUCUGUCGCCCUCUUUCAACCACAAGCAUCUUGACUUUUAUCUCCAUGAUAUUUUUUCAACCUUGGCUAAUUGUUGUAACUCCAUUUUUAGCCGAAGGAUCUUAUUUGUUUCAUCUUGAGUCUGCAGUCUUCCUUCAAUUGUUUGUUCCAUUAAUAAUAGUUCUUCCAUAGCUUUGUUGGUUCUGGUGCAAAUUCUACCAUAUGACUCCCUAUUCCAGAUUGCUAAAUCCUUCUUUAGAAGUUUAAGCUUUUGGGAUAGUACAAAGUCAGGGGAGCCAUUUACCACAUAACCAUGCCACCAUUGUUUGAUCAUAUCACAAAACCUUCAUGUUGUAGCCACAUGUUUUCGAAUUUAAAAUAAUAAGGUUCACCAGUCCAAUCUCCACUUUCCAAGGCAAUAGGCCUAUGAUCAGAAACAACUCUAGGAAGGGCUAGUUGUUGAAUUGAACCAAAGAGAUCAUUCCAUGCAGAAGAGAUCAGAAACCUGUCAAUUCUUGAUGCCCGUAGAGAAUUUUCACCCCUAACCCAAGUGUACAAAGCUCUCUGUAAAGGGAGAUCCACCAAGCCCAUGUCUUGAAUGAAGUCAGAAAAUCUUUCAUAGCCAUUGAUCUUCUUAUACAAUUGAACCUUUCAUUCUCAAAACGACAUACAUUAAAUUCCC
rnacentral:lncRNA from 1 species